AACCUUACCAGGUCUUGACAUUGAUCGCGAUCUGCAGAAAUGCGGAGUUCUUCUUCGGAAGACGAGAAAACAGGUGGUGCACGGCUGUCGUCAGCUCGUGUCGUGAGAUGUUGGGUUAAGUCCCGCAACGAGCGCAACCCCUAUCAUUUGUUACCAGCACGUAAAGGUGGGGACUCAAAUGAGACCGCCGCGGACAACGCGGAGGAAGGCGGGGACGACGUCAAGUCAUCAUGCCCCUUAUGACCUGGGCUACACACGUACUACAAUGGGUGUCAACAAAGAGAAGCGAAACCGCGAGGAAGAGCAAACCUCAAAAACACACCCCCAGUUCAGAUCGCAGGCUGCAACCCGCCUGCG
rnacentral:rRNA from 1 species